rnacentral:rRNA from 1 species
GAUGAACGCUGGCGGCGUGCCUAAUACAUGCAAGUCGAGCGAACAGACGAGGAGCUUGCUCCUCUGACGUUAUCGGCGGACGGGUGAGUAACACGUGGAUAACCUACCUAUACGACUGGGAUAACUUCGGGAAACCGGAUCUAAUACCGGAUAAUAUAUUGAACCGCAUGGUUCAAUCGUUAAAUACGGUUUUGCUGUCACUUAUAGAUGGAUCCGCGCCGCAUGAGUUAGUUGUUAAGGUAACGGCUUACCAAGGCAACGAUGCGUAGCCGACCUGAGAGGGUGGUUGGACACAUUGGAACAGAGACAGGGCCCAGACUCCUACGGGAGGCAACAGUAGGGAAUCUUCCGCAAUGGGCGAAAGCCGGACAGAGCAACGCCGCGGAAGGGAUGAAGGUGUACGGAUCGUAGAACUCUGUUAGUAGGGAAGAACAAAAGUGUAAGUAACUAUGCACGUAAUGACGGUACCUAAACAAAAAGCCACGGCUAACUACGUG